AGGUGGGUAUGGUGAGAAAAGGUAGAUACGACGGAAAAGGUAGGUGGGCAAGAUGUCACCAAGAAGAAAGAAGCCAUGGUAGAAGAAAGUGGGCAAGGGGUGGGGGCACUGGUGGCUUGAGGGUCCGGCCCAUCCGGAGGUAGCAGAUAAAGGGAGAGCAGGGCUAGAGGAACGCUAAAAUCGGGAGCACGAUUGGAGUUCACGGCCUGUGUUGUCCUCCACCUCCUCCAGGUACAUGGUGCGGGUCCGAGCCGUGGUGAUGGCCCGAGAUGACUCCAGUGGGGGCUGGCUGCCUGUGGGGGGCGGGGGCCUCAGCCAGGUGAGCGUAUGUCGGGUCCGAGGGGCCAGGCCCGAGGGGGGGGCCCGCCAGGGGCACUACGUCAUCCACGGGGAGCGGCUUCGGGACCAGAAAACCACCUUGGAGUGUACCCUGCGGCCAGGUUUGGUUUACAACAAAGUCAACCCUAUCUUCCACCACUGGAGCCUGGGGGACUGCAAGUUUGGGCUGACGUUUCAGAGUCCCGCAGAGGCUGAUGAGUUCCAGAAGAGUCUGCUAGCUGCGCUGGCCUCCCUCAGCCGAGGCUCGCUCACUCCCUCCUCUUCCUCUUCCUCCUCCUCCCCUUCCCAGGACACUGCAGAGACCCCCUGCCCUCUGACGUCCCACGUGGACAGCGACUCCUCCUCCAGUCACAGCCGCCAGGAGACUCCUCCCACAGCUGUUGCGGCUCCCAUUGUCACGGUGGAGUCAACAUCUGCCUUCCCACCAGCCACACCCCCACAACGGCGACGCUCCUCUGCACAGAGCUACCCUCCGCUUCUACCGUUCACUGGGAUUCCAGAACCCUCAGAGUCUCUAGCCGGGGCAGGGAGCCAGGGCUGGGGCGGCCGUGGCUAUGAGGACUACCGGCGAUCCGGACUACCGGCACCUCUUCCCCUGUCUACCUGCGUCGUGGGCUUCGCCAAGACUGGUGCAUUGAGGGGUGCAGCUCUGGGUCCCCCAGUGUCACUCCCCGCCCCUCUCACUGAGGCUACGCCCCCAGCACCCCCUGCUCGUCCACCCCCGGGUCCGGGCCCCACUCCUGCUCCAGCCAAGGCCUCCCCGGAGGCCGAGGAGGCUGCACGCUGCGUGCACUGCAGAGCACUCUUCCGCCGCCGUGCGGAUGGGCGUGGUGGUCGGUGCGCAGAGGCCCCAGACCCAGGUCGCCUCCUAGUGCGCAGGCUCAGCUGCCUGUGGUGUGCCGAGAGCUUGCUGUACCACUGUCUGUCGGACGCCGAGGGUGACUUCUCGGACCCAUGCGCAUGUGAGCCAGGCCACCCGCGCCCUGCUGCACGCUGGGCCGCUCUGGCUGCGCUGUCGCUGGCAGUGCCCUGCCUCUGCUGCUACGCACCUCUGCGCGCCUGUCACUGGGUUGCAGCACGGUGCGGCUGCGCAGGCUGUGGGGGUCGCCAUGAGGAGGCUGCACGGUGAGGAUCGUUGGGCUGGUUUGAAAAUCGGUCUGAAGACCUAAAAUGGAGGGUCCAGGACCCUGAACUCCGUACGAACCUAAAACCCAAACUUAGGGCCUGGCAUUGCUGCAGAGGAUUGUACACACCGAGGAUUGCACCAGCUCUCAGCUGAGCAGAGACAGGCAGCUGCAGGGGUCAAGCAGGUACUUAGAGGAAGCCCACCCUUCUCUCCUGUACACAGCUGUACCUUUUGGGCUGGCUAUGGCUCCACAGAAGCCCCCAUCAUCCCUAACCCUUGCAGAUCACUCCUGCCACCAACCCCUAGUUCAUUCAGGUCCAUCUCCUGUUAGCCUCCUCCAUCUCGGUUGGGAGUUGCUUUGGAAAGCUCGGCACUGUUUAAUGCACUUCCCCAUGCUUUCCUUCUGAAGAAGAGGGGUGCCACAGCCUCUUUUCUCUAAGAAGAGUGGGGUGUCACUGUGCCUAGGAACUGGUGUCCUGGAUAGGGGAACCAAGGUCUCAGAGCCAAGACAGUCUUGAUGGUUUAUGGGCUUAGGACCUACAUCUGGCCCUAAGUUACUAGGGAUGUGCACUUAACCAUUCCUCAUUACCUAGACUCGGGUGGCCUUGUGGGGAUUCAAGGGAUUAAUAUUUGUGUCACUUCCUUUAAAUUAUUAACUAUUUAUUGUAUCCGGAACCUGUGAUUCAGCUCUCCCAACCAGACCCUGGGAUGGGUAAGAGAAAAUGGGGAGGGGGGUGUCUCUCCCAUCCCCACUGUUCGGCUCUCAUCACUGUCAAACCCACCAGAGCUGAGGGCGGAGGAACUGGGGGCUGGGGCAGCCUGGGUCCCCAUCCCCCUCUCUGUGCCUCGGUCUCCCCCCUUCCAUGGUGAGUGGGGGGAAGCUCCAUUCUUAACCUACCUCGUUUUGGGAAGGGGUGGGAUGGGGGACCAGAGUGCUGUAUGGUGCUGUGAGAUCUUCGGAUUAAGCAGUGGGGACCGGGGAAGGUUCCCUAGUCCCCAUCUCCCAGUACCCCUCUCCCAGGUCCCCAGCCCUGUUCCUUGCUGACACCCACCUCUGAUCCAUGAUUACCUUUCACUGCCCCCAUAUCUGGGGGGCGUGGAGGGCUGAACCCUGGGAGCCAGGAAGACCUCAGACCCUGGAGCCCCCAAUUUUCCAGCUGCUUGCCCCUCAGAUUGGAUGCUUGCCCCCCCCAGAUUUUGGGGCAGGCACGCCAACAUUUAUCUUCCUGAUCGUGAUUCCAAGCCAGUCUGUGACCUCAAUAUUGUUAGCGUCAGUGCAGGCUGAAGCGGAGGGAGGAUGGGGGGGCCAAAGACCCAGCCUUGUCAUUGGGGAGAGGGGCUUGAAAUCUGCUCCAAGAAAUGUCUGUGACAGUGUC